CUAAUGAGAUAAAGAAAGAAGUCGAUAAAAAGGAAAAGGUUUAUCAAGUGGGUAUUGAAAUUGGUGGUUUUACGGUGCGUCUGAGUCGAUAAUGGCUCUUUCAUCACCUUCAUUCUUUUCUGGUUUGGCAACUCCUUCCAAUAGAAACAGACGCAUUCACAAGUUUCGGUGUUCGACUUCUGUGGUAACUACAAAUUGUUGUAAGCAAGGCGAAUUUCAGAAUGUGCUCACGGAUUAUGUCUCUUCAAAUCAGUUUCCUGUUUCCCGUACUGAUAGACAGUCUGCAAUUCUUCACAUUCAGGAGUCAUCUGACUUGGCUUCUGCUCUUGCAAGGCAUGGUGAUACACUUAAAGUACAAGAUAUGAAUGUGAUUUUGCGCUAUUUCGGGAAGCUAAAUCGAAGACGGGAGCUUUAUCAGGUGUUUGAAUGGAUGCAGCAGAAUCAGAAGAUCAAUGUUGCAUCAUACAGCAGUUAUGUAAAGUUCAUGGGGAAGAGCCUCAGUUGUGUUGAUGCUGUAGAAAUGUACAGAGACAUCAAAGACAGGUCGAUGAAGUAUAAUGUCUCAGUCUGUAAUGCAUUUCUUAGUUCCCUGAUAAAAAACGGAAAAUCGGAGAGCAGUCUCAAACUGUUUACUCAAAUGAAGCGAGAUGGUUUAGUACCAGAUGUAUUCACAUAUAGCACGCUUCUUGCAGGCUGUGCCAAAGUAAACGGUGGAUACUAUAAGGCACUAGAGCUGGUUCAGGAGCUGAUGUCUAAUGGACUGGAAAUGGAUAGUGUGACUUAUGGGUCACUCCUUUCUGUCUGUGCUUCACAUAAAGAGUGCAAUGAAGCUGCAAAGUACUUUCAGAAGAUGAAAGAUGAAGGUCAUUCUCCUAAUGUCUACCACUAUAGCUCUUUGCUUAAUGCUUACUCUGCUGACAGAAAUUACGAGAAGGCUGAGGUAUUGAUUGAAGAGAUGAGAUCUUCAGGCUUAGUAUUAAAUAAGGUAAUCUAUACAACUUUGUUGAAGGUAUACGUGAAAGGAGGUUUGUUUGAGAAGUCAAAGGAACUGCUAAAGGAGUUAGAAGCUCUUGGUUAUGCUAAGGAUGAGCUGCCAUUUUGUCUUCUAAUGGAUGGCCUGGCAAAGUCUGGACAUCUUCUUGAAGCAAAAUCAGUAUUUGAUGAGAUGAUGGAAAAACAGGUGAAAACUGCAGAUGGCUACUCCUAUAGCAUUAUGAUUUCUGCAUUCUGUCGCAGUGGGCUUCUCGAAGAUGCAAAGAAAUUGGCUUCUGAAUUUGAAGAAAAAUAUGACAAAUAUGAUAUAGUUAUUUUGAAUGCGAUGCUCUCUGCCUAUUGCAGAGCAGGAAAAAUGGAGAAUGUAAUGAGCAUGAUGAAGAAGAUGGAUGACUCUGCAAUUAGUCCUGAUUGGAAUACUUUUAAUAUUCUGAUAAGAUAUUUCUGCAAGGAGAAGCUAUAUUUGCUUGCCUAUCGUACCAUGGAGGACAUGCAUAGUAAAGGUCACCAACCAGAGGAGGGACUUUGUUCCUCUUUAAUUUAUCAUCUUGGUAAGACAGGUGCACAUUCAGAAGCAUUUUCUGUAUACAACAUGUUGAGAUAUAGCAAAAGAACCAUAUCCAACACCCUUCAUGAGAAUAUUUUGCACAUUUUGAUUGCUGGGCGGCUCCUCAAAGAUGCUUAUGUGGUAGUCAAGGUAUACAGGACAAUGCAGGAUUCAUCUCUCAGCCGGCUAUCAAAAAAUUUUCUGUCAACUUCAUGAGAUCUGGCAACGUAAACUUAAUCAAUGAUGUGAUGAACGCCAUGCAGAGCUCUGGCCACAAGAUUGAUCAGGAAUUAUUUGAUUUGGCUAUAGCACGCUACAUUGCAAAACCAGAAAAGAAGGAAUUACUUCUCUGGUUACUGAAGUGGAUGCCUGGUAAAGGUUAUGCUAUUGAUUCAUCAACUAGAAAUUUGAUUCUGAAGAACUCUCACUUGUUUGGCCAUCAACUUAUUGCUGAGUCAUUGUCCAAGCACCUUGUGAUGUCAAAAAAGGCGAAACUUCAGAAGGAAAAUGCAAGAUAACUGAAGCUAUAUGGUGAAGUUGGACAUUAGUUUGCUGUAUAGAGAAGGUUGAUAUGUUGCAGGUCUUAAGCUGAUAAUUAUGUUGCUGAGGCAGCUCUAUUUUCGGAAGCAAUUUCCACCACUCUCAAGCUUAAUGUUAACUGUAGCAAUGCAUUUAACAACUUGAAACAGAUUUCUGAGGGUGUCACAUGAAGCAUGCCAAUAACCAGCAACUCCAUUCAUGUUAUAGGAUAAACGUUCAAUUUUCAUAUCGUAUUUAAUUGAGCUUCGACAUUCUCAGUGCCUUGUGUAGAGCCAUUCCUGAUUGUCACAGACAAGUUUGGAAAUAUCAGUUGCAUUAUUGCAUACCUUAUACGUCUUCAAAGGCACAAACUUUCAGCAAAAGGUAUUUCCUUGCAAUGUAUUUGUUCCUAGAUCUCGAGUA